rnacentral:rRNA from 1 species
AUUGAACGCUGGCGGCAGGCCUAACACAUGCAAGUCGAGCGGAUGAAGGGAGCUUGCUCCUGGAUUCAGCGGCGGACGGGUGAGUAAUGCCUAGGAAUCUGCCUGGUAGUGGGGGAUAACGUCCGGAAACGGGCGCUAAUACCGCAUACGUCCUGAGGGUGAAAGUGGGGGAUCUUCGGACCUCACGCUAUCAGAUGAGCCUAGGUCGGAUUAGCUAGUUGGUGGGGUAAAGGCUUACCAAGGCGACGAUCCGUAACUGGUCUGAGAGGAUGAUCGGUCACAUUGGAACUGAGACACGGUCCAGACUCCUACGGGAGGCAGCAGUGGGGAAUAUUGGACAAUGGGCGAAAGCCUGAUGCAGCCAUGCCGCGUGUGUGAAGAAGGUCUUCGGAUUGUAAAGCACUUUUAGUUGGGAGGAAGGGCAGUAAGUUUAUACCUUGAUGUUUUGACGUUACCAACAGAAUAAGCCCCGGCUAACUUCGUG